rnacentral:misc_RNA from 1 species
AGAAUUCAUGUAACUUAUAUGGAAUUGAAUUUUUCUAUUCAGGCUCAAUUUACUUAGUGAACAUAAAUCUAGCAGAUUCUUUUGAACUUAGCUAUGGCUUGAUUAAAACUGUAAUUCUUUGUGCCUUAGAAGAUGAUGGAACUUUUCACUUUUUUAGAGUGAAAGCAAAGAAUGUUGGUUUUAUGGGCAGUUGUUUUGUUUGGAAGUUUUUCCCUGGAGCUGCUAUCCUUGUUAUGACAUAUGGUUGAAUGAAAACU